CAGUCGCCGCGGGAAUACGAAGGGGGCUAGCGUUGUUCGGAUUUACUGGGCGUAAAGCGCACGUAGGCGGACUUUUAAGUCAGGGGUGAAAUCCCGGGGCUCAACCCCGGAACUGCCUUUGAUACUGGAAGUCUUGAGUAUGGUAGAGGUGAGUGGAAUUCCGAGUGUAGAGGUGAAAUUCGUAGAUAUUCGGAAGAACACCAGUGGCGAAGGCGACUGACUGGACAAGUAUUGACGCUGAGGUGCGAAAGCGUGGGGAGCAAACAGGAUUAGAUACCCCUGUAGUCCCUGUCUCUUAUAC
rnacentral:rRNA from 1 species